AUGGUUAUUUGGCAUGAUAUUUUAUUUUCUGUCAAUAUGGUGAGCAAAAAGUUACAGGAAAAAAUUGUGUGCAUCGAUGCUACUCUCAAACACAUUGAAGGGGUCAUUUCAUAUUUUGAGAAGUAUAGAGAUGAAGGCUUCUAUUCUAGUAUUGAGAGUGCCAAACUCAUUGCAGCGAAUAUGGACAUAGAGCCAAAAUUUCGUACAAAACGUCAAAGUAAAAGGAAGAGGCAUUUUGAUGAAAUCAAUGAUGUAGAUGAAGAUCCACAACUGUCAGCUAUUGAAUCCUUCAGAGUUACUUACUUUCUUGUCAUUGUUGACACUGCAAUUGCUUCAUUGAAUAUUCGAUUUGAGCAGCUGAAGGCAUUUGAAAAGGUGUUUGGUUUCUUAUUCAACUCAAAUAAGUUGAAGUCAUUGGACGAUAGUAAUCUACGAAAAUCUUGCACUAUUUUUGCACAAACUUUUACUCAUGAAAAGUCACAUGAUGUUGACCUUGAUGAUUUUUUCUCUGAGUUAAAAGUGUUGAAGGUAACUUUGCCAGAUGAUUUGAUGUCAGCACCUGAGAUUCUUCAAUUUGUUACAGCUGUCGGUUGCUAUCCAAAUGUGUCAGUUGCUUAUCGGAUCCUCUUGACUAUACCGGUGACUGUAGCCUCAGCUGAAAGAAGUUUCUCUAAACUGAAACUACUGAAAAAUUGUUUGAGGUCAACUAUGUUACAAGAGAGAUUGAAUGGCUUGGCUACAUGUUGUAUUGAGAAGGAUAUCUUGGACAGAAUUGAUCUUGAUACUCUCAUCAAUGAUUUUGCAUCUCGAAAUGCUCGAAGAAGUUUUUUUGUGAAAAACUGA
rnacentral:rRNA from 1 species